GGACAUGUGCCUUGGCCCUACACAAGCACGCCCUUUGUUCUACUCAUCUGGCUCCUGCAAACUGACCUCAAGGAGCCUUUCCUGGAUAAGGGACACUUCGUCCACCCUACAUAGCCUGCUGCUACUACUCAGGAGACUGAGCCAGAUUCAGAUGCUAAAUAGCAAGGACCUUGUCUCACUCUUGGAGGUCCUUCCCCCACGGUCAUCUCAGGUGAGAAGACCAGUAAGUGCUCUUUCAUUGUUUGACUAUUAACUUGAUGAGAGGGUCAUGUUUGGGGUCUGGACUCUGAAGACCUUCGGGGUCACUCACCAGCUGCCUGGCUGUCCUGGGAGUGCAUUCAGUUGCUGAUGCACUCAGCAUCUGCUGCCUUGUCUGUGGCCCCUGCUGGGGAGUCCUGGAUGCUUAGAUGAGAUGCUUAGACAGCAAGGCUUAGCACAUCCCCGGUGGCACUAGGCCUGAGCACCUGUCCUGGCUCUGGGUAGCCCAGGACUGGCUCUGGGUAGCUGCCAUGCCUUCCUGCCCACUGACAUCUAAAACCAGGAGUCAGCACACUUGUGCUGGAAAGGGCCAGGUAUUAGAGGUUUCAACGACCCCCCUCCGAGCAACCAGCCACAGUCAAUUUGCAAACAAGGGGCAUGGCUGCAUUCCCAGGUGGGUGUUUGCCAAGCCACACUUUAGAUUAGCUCUGAGCCGCCCUCUGAGGUGGACGCUUCCCCUUCCCUCCCUCCCCACACGUCCACGGGCUCCAUAACUGCGUCUCUCAGGGGCACAGGAUUUGUGCUGCACAUAGGGCUGCCCAUAAAAUUCAAGCCUCUAGUCAAAGUUGAACUUCAGAGAAGCAAUCAAUAACUUUAAAGUUUGUCCCUUAUCCUUAAAAGUAUUGACGGCUUAUAUGACAUUCAAAUCUAACUGGGCAUUCUUUUUUUCUUCUCCUCUCUCCCUCUUUUUAAUCUAGAUCUGCCAGCCCUAGGUGUGCAUCCCCUGGACCUGGGAAGCCCGGUUGGAAAGCAGAGCAAGCGUGGAUGCACAGAGGUCCCUGAGAGCAGCCCUAGAGAGGGGCUCUCUCCCACAGAGCCGCAUUGCUGGUUCAGCAGGGCUAAAAGGGGCAGGAGGAAGGUCAGCGUGGGAGACGGGGCAAGGCCUGAGCUCCUGGGACUUCAUGGAACGGUGCUCUAGGGAUGGGAGCCAGGCCGGGCCACAGAGCCAGCAGCCUCAGGUGACCCCAACUGGCCCUGCCUGCCCGAGACAGGAGCCAAGGACACGCUGCACGUCCAGCCCCAGAUGCUGAGCAAGGCCAUGGUCUCAUGGCAUCCGGUUCCUUUACACAUCACCGUCAGCCUUUAGUCUUCGUGUAAGGGAGAAGGAAAACAGUGGACAUGGAUCCCUGUUCUUCUCCAUUAAUGGCUCACCUAGUUACCUCAGCCUGAUGGGCCAGGGGCUGGACACCACUGCAAUGCUUAAUGGAUCACCAAUACGUUAAUAAACAAUGUUUGACACAGAACGAUUCAUUCCAUAAGUAUGAAACCUAACUUUCUAGCAGCUGUAACAAUAUUGUUGAGUGGGGGCUAUUAUAACUCUUCCGUGGGGGAGGCUGAGGCCCUGGGAAGUUACACCCAGGUAUAGCUGGACCUGGGUGAAGCAGGUGGCAUUGGAAUCAAGAAAUUCCAGCCCCGAACCUGGGCUCACUCAGCACAACGUCUCUCUCAAAACUGGUGUAAGCAUGGGAAGUCCUCUUCCUCAGGUUGGUUUCAACAUGAUAUUC
rnacentral:lncRNA from 1 species